CCUACGGGAGGCAGCAGUGGGGAAUAUUGGACAAUGGGCGAAAGCCUGAUCCAGCCAUGCCGCGUGUGUGAAGAAGGCCUUGGGGUUGUAAAGCACUUUCAGUGGGGAAGAAAGCCUUGGGGCUAAUACCCUCGAGGAAGGACAUCACCCACAGAAGAAGCACCGGCUAACUCCGUGCCAGCAGCCGCGGUAAUACGGAGGGUGCGAGCGUUAAUCGGAAUUACUGGGCGUAAAGCGCGCGUAGGCGGUCUGAUAAGCCGGUUGUGAAAGCCCCGGGCUCAACCUGGGAACGGCAUCCGGAACUGUCAGGCUAGAGUGCAGGAGAGGAAGGUAGAAUUCCCGGUGUAGCGGUGAAAUGCGUAGAGAUCGGGAGGAAUACCAGUGGCGAAGGCGGCCUUCUGGACUGACACUGACGCUGAGGUGCGAAAGCGUGGGUAGCAAACAGGAUUAGAUACCCUGGUAGUC
rnacentral:rRNA from 1 species